UGUCCUGGGAUGGGAAUCGAACCCAUAGUGUACCGUUUACCGGGCAGAUGCCAUGUCCACUAGGCUAUCCUGGAC
rnacentral:tRNA from 1 species